GACGAACGCUGGCGGCGUGCCUAAUACAUGCAAGUCGAGCGAGCGAAACUAACAGAUUUACUUCGGUAAUGACGUUAGGACAGCGAGCGGCGGAUGGGUGAGUAACACGUGGGGAACCUGCCCCAUAGUCUGGGAUACCACUUGGAAACAGGUGCUAAUACCGGAUAAGAAAGCAGAUCGCAUGAUCAGCUUUUAAAAGGCGGCGUAAGCUGUCGCUAUGGGAUGGCCCCGCGGUGCAUUAGCUAGUUGGUAAGGUAAAGGCUUACCAAGGCGAUGAUGCAUAGCCGAGUUGAGAGACUGAUCGGCCACAUUGGGACUGAGACACGGCCCAAACUCCUACGGGAGGCAGCAGUAGGGAAUCUUCCACAAUGGACGCAAGUCUGAUGGAGCAACGCCGCGUGAGUGAAGAAGGUUUUCGGAUCGUAAAGCUCUGUUGUUGGUGAAGAAGGAUAGAGGUAGUAACUGGCCUUUAUUUGACGGUAAUCAACCAGAAAGUCACGGCUAACUACGUG
rnacentral:rRNA from 1 species